GACGAAGGGGGCUAGCGUUGUUCGGAAUUACUGGGCGUAAAGCGCGUGUAAGGCGGUUGUCCAAGUUGGAUGUGAAAGCCUUGAGCUCAACUCAAGAAAUGCAUUCAGGACUGGAUGACUAGAGGACCGGAGAGGAUAGUGGAAUUCCCAGUGUAGUGGUGAAAUACGUAGAGAUUGGGAAGAACACCAGUGGCGAAGGCGGCUAUCUGGACGGUUUCUGACGCUAAGACGCGAAAGCGUGGGGAGCAAACAGG
rnacentral:rRNA from 1 species